rnacentral:rRNA from 1 species
CCUACGGGGGGCAGCAGUGAGGAAUAUUGGUCAAUGGACGAGAGUCUGAACCAGCCAAGUAGCGUGAAGGAUGACUGCCCUCUGCGUUGUAAACUUCUUUUAUAUGGGAAUAAAACGUUCCACGUGUGGGAUUUUGUAUGUACCAUAUGAAUAAGGAACGGCUAACUACGGGCCAGCAGCCGCGGUAAUAUGGAGGGUCCGAGCGUUAUCCGGAUUUAUUGGGUUUAAAGGGAGCGUAGGUGGUUUGUUAAGUCAGUUGUGAAAGUUUGCGGCCCAACCGUAAAAUUGCAGUUGAAACUGGCAGUCUUGAGUACAGUAGAGGUGGGCGGAAUUCGAGGUGUAGCGGUGAAAUGCUUAGAUAUCACGAAGAACUCCGAUUGCGAAGGCAGUUCACUGGACUGCAACUGACGCUGAGGCUCGAAAGUGUGGGUAGCAAACAGGAUUAGAUACCCGUGUAGUC